AACAAUUUUACACUGUUGGCAGGAAUAUAAAUUAUUUCAACCAUUGUGGAAGAUGGUGUGGCGAUUCCAGCAUCAGGUUGUACUGACACUGGAGAUAAAAGUCUAUUCCUUUUACUAUAUUAAAAUCCUUAAUUAUUUGAAGACAGCAUUAAGCUGAACAUCACCAGUUUCUUUAACCUUUCCCUCAUCCUGUUUGCUCACACCUGGACCUAUGUGAGUUGGCCAGUGCCCUCCCACAGUAAGCCAACAGACCCUGCCACAGUUCUGGGAGUGCAUGUUUGAAAUGAAAAUGGAAAUUAGCCCAGGCACGGUGGCUCACGCCUGCAAUCCCAGCACUCUGGGAGGCUGAGGCAGGUGGAUCAUUUGAGGUAAGGAAUUUGAGACCAGCCUUCCCAACAUGGUGAAACCUCGUCUCUACUAAAAACACAAAAAUUUACCGGGUGUGGUGGCAGGUGCCUGUAAUCCCAGUUACUUGAGAGGCUGAAAAGAGAAUCACUUGAGCCCAGGAGGUGGCGGCUACAGUGAGGCGAGAUCAUGUCACUGCACUCCAGCCUGGCCGAUAGAGCAACUGCUCUCAAAAAGAAAAAAAAAAAAAAGAAAGGAAGAAAGAAAGAAAAAAAAGAAAAUGAAAAUUAAUGGGAAAAUGUGGCUGUGUAUAAACUUUCACUGACAGACACAUUUUCUGACAGAGCCACGUGGUGAUGUGCAGAGAGGAUUUGGAUGAAGAGGAGCUGCUGGAAGCUGUGG
rnacentral:lncRNA from 1 species